GUCUACGGCCAUGCUACCCUGAGUAAGCCUGAUCCUGUCUGAUCUCGGAAGCUAAGCAGGGUCGGGCCUGGUUAGUACUUGGAUGGGAGACCACUUAGGAAGACCAGGUGCUGUGGGCA
rnacentral:rRNA from 1 species